CCUACGGGAGGCAGCAGUGAGGAAUAUUGGUCAAUGGCCGAGAGGCUGAACCAGCCAAGUCGCGUGAGGGAAGACGGCCCUACGGGUUGUAAACCUCUUUUGUCGGGGAGCAAAGAGAGUCACGUGUGACUCAUUGAGAGUACCCGAAGAAAAAGCAUCGGCUAACUCCGUGCCAGCAGCCGCGGUAAUACGGAGGAUGCGUACGUUAUCCGGAUUUCUUGGGUUUAAAGGGUGCGCAGGCGGAGGUGCAAGUCAGCGGUCAAAUUGCGGGGCUCAACCCCGUACUGCCGUUGAAACUGCAUGCCUUGAGUGCGCGAGAAGUAGGCGGAAUGCGUGGUGUAGCGGUGAAAUGCAUAGAUAUCACGCAGAACUCCGAUUGCGAAGGCAGCAUACCGGCGCGCAACUGACGCUCAUGCACGAAAGCGUGGGUAUCGAACAGGAUUAGAUACCCGAGUAGUC
rnacentral:rRNA from 1 species